GAAACUGUGUGGCUCAACCAUGCACCCAUUAUUCAAACUGCUUUGACUAGAGAGUGGAAGAGGUUGCUAGAAUUCCUAGUGUAGGGGUGAAAUCCGUAGAUAUUASGAGGAAUACCAAUGGCGUASGCAGGCAACUGGKCCAUUUCUGACGCUCAGGCACGAAAGCGUGGGGAGCGAUCGGGAUUAGAUACCCCGGUAGUCCACGCCGAAAACGANGGAUGCUAGUUGUUCGGAGUAUCGACCCUCUGAGUAACGAAGCUAACGCGUUAAGCAUCCCGCCUGUGGAGUACGAGCGCAAGCUUAAAACAUAAAGGAAUUGACGGGGACCCGCACAAGCGGUGGAGUGUGUUGUUUAAUUCGAGGAUAAGCGAAGAACCUUACCAGGGUUUGACAUCCUGCGAAUUUCUCCGAAAGGAGAAAGUGCUUUAUUGAAUGCAGUGACAGGUGAUGCAUGGCCGUCGUCAGCUCGUGUCGUGAGAUGUUUGGUUAAGUCCAUCAACGGGCGCAACCCUUGUAUUUAGUUGAAUUUUUCUAAAUAGACCGCCUCGGUAACGGGGAGGAAGGAGGGGAUGAUGUCAGGUCCGUAUUUCCCUUACACCCUGGGCUACAAACACGCUACAAUGGCCGGUACAAAGGGCAGCCAAGUCGCGAGACGGAGCAAAUCCCAUCAAAGCCGGUCCCAGUUCGGAUUGCAGGCUGAAACUCGCCUGCAUGAAGCCGGAAUCGCUAGUAACGGUAGGUCAGCAGACUACCGUGAAUACGUUCCCGGGUCUUGUACACACCGCCCGUCAAGCCAUGAAAGUCGUCAAUACCUGACGUGCUAGUUUACCUAGCCCUAAGGUAGGGGUGAUGAUUGGGGUU
rnacentral:rRNA from 1 species